UACAGAGGGGGCAAGCGUUGUUCGGAAUUACUGGGCGUAAAGGGCGCGGUAGGCGGCCUGCUAAGUCGAACGUGAAAUCCCCGGGCUCAACCCGGGAACUGCGUCCGAUACUGGCAGGCUUGAAUCCGGAGAGGGAUGUGGAAUUCCAGGUGUAGCGGUGAAAUGCGUAGAUAUCUGGAGGAACACCGGUGGCGAAGGCGGCGUUCUGGACUGCAACUGACACUGAUGAACGAAAGCCAGGGGAGCAAACGGG
rnacentral:rRNA from 1 species